AGAAUCAACGCUGGCGGCGUGCCUAACACAUGCAAGUCGCACGAGAAAGGGGCUUCGGCCCUGAGUAAAGUGGCGCACGGGUGAGUAACACGUGAAUCAUCUACCUUCGAGUGGGGAAUAACUGAGAGAAAUCUUAGCUAAUACCGCAUAAUACCUACGGGUCAAAGCAGCAAUGCGCUUGAAGAGGAGUUCGCGGCAGAUUAGUUAGUUGGCGGGGUAAUGGCCCACCAAGACGAUGAUCUGUA
rnacentral:rRNA from 1 species